GAGACUUGUUGUUUGAAGGCUGAAAGUGUUUCUGAAGUCUGUCAGGGGAUACAUGAUGAAGAACUGCUGAAAAAGGUUCUAAGCCUUAGAGAUUAUAAAGCUCCCAUUUUACAUGCUGUUUUGCAUUCAUUCUUCCCCAAAACUCCUCCCUGCUGCUUUAUCAGCUUUAUCCACAGUGCUGUCCAGCACUGGACAGAGUUCCCUGUGGAGAUGGCCUCCCCAGCUCAGCUCCUCUGCUUUCUCUUGCUCUGGCUCCCAGGUUCACAAGGGGAAAUUAUUUUGACACAGUCUCCUAACUCCCUGCCUGUGUCUCUGGGAGAGAGAGUCACCAUCAAGUGCAAGGCCAGUCAGAGCCUGUUACACAGUAAUGGGUACACUUAUCUAUAUUGGUUCCAACAGAAACAAAGAGAACCUCUUAAAGCACUGAUAUACAGAGUUUCCAAUCUGCACUCUGGGAUUCCCUCUCGAUUCAGUGGCAGUGGGUCUGGGACAGAUUUCACCUUCACAAUCAGCAAUCUGGAGUCUGAGGAUGUUGCAGAGUACUUCUGUGGGCAAGCUAUUAGCUUUCCUUACACACAGUGUUCCAGCCCCUAA